CUUACCAAUUGUUUUCUUGGCGACUGAUCCCAGCUGCCUUGAGAUCAUUAACAAGAUCCUCCCGUGUAGUUCUCUGCUGAUUCCUCACCGUUCUCAUGAUCAUUGAAACUCCACGAGGUGAGAUCUUGCAUGGAGCACCAGACAGAGGGAGACUGACAGUUAUUUUGUGUUUUUAUUCCACUUGUGAAUAAUCGCACCAAUUGUUGUCACCUUCUCACCAAGCUGCUUGGCGAUGG